GCCAGGUGUGGUGGUGGGCCCCUGUAAUCCCAGCCACUCGGGAGGCUGAGGCAGGAGAAUUGCUUGAGCCCAGGAGGCAGAGACUGCAGUGAGCCAAGAUCGUGCCACUGCACUCCAGCCUGGGCAACAGAGUAAGACUCUGUCUCAA
ensembl:misc_RNA Metazoa_SRP Metazoan signal recognition particle RNA